GGGAGCGGCUCCCGAGCGUGUAGAAGGGAAAAGGGGGUCUAGAGAAGGGGCACGAGGCUUUAUAAGGCUCGGCUCGACGAAUAGGGUAGGAAAUCCCAGAGAAAACGGGAUCGAUGCCGCUCCGGUGAGAGUCCCGGGUGACUACGCCACGGGGAAGAAGAAGGGAAAGAGGGAUGGGACGCUGCCAAGCGGGCCCAGGCUGUCAGUGAGAGAAGAAAGCUAGACCCGGCCGUCAGCGGUGGGAGAAGGGAGGGGAGGGAAGCAGGCCGCGCGCGGCUUGGGCUGUCUGUUCGGCUGGUUCGCGAGUUGGGCCGAAGGGGAAAGAAAAGGGGGUGCUGGGCCGCGGGGAAGGGAAGGAGCAAGCCAGGGGGAAAGCAGCGCUGGUUUUUUUUCUUUUUCUUCUUUGUUUUCUUUUUCAAAUCCUUUUUCCAAUAGAAUUUUGAAAGCAAAUAAAUACAAACCAAAAGUAAUCAACACAAAAUAAAAUAUAUUUCAGCAUGAAUGCACAAUCGAGUUUACUAAACUUAUGAUGAAUUUUAUUUUUCACAAAAAUUAUUUAAGUGC
rnacentral:lncRNA from 1 species